rnacentral:rRNA from 1 species
GACGAACGCUGGCGGCGUGCUUAACACAUGCAAGUCGAACGAUGAAACCGGAGCUUGCUCCGGUGGAUUAGUGGCGAACGGGUGAGUAACACGUGAGUAACCUGCCCUUGACUCUGGGAUAACUGCGGGAAACUGUAGCUAAUACCGGAUACGACCCUCGGAGGCAUCUCCUGGGGGUGGAAAGAAUUUCGGUCAAGGAUGGACUCGCGGCCUAUCAGCUAGUUGGUGAGGUAACGGCUCACCAAGGCGACGACGGGUAGCCGGCCUGAGAGGGUAACCGGCCACACUGGGACUGAGACACGGCCCUGACUCCUACGGGAGGCGGCAGUGGGGAAUAUUGCACAAUGGGCGCAAGCCUGAUGCAGCAACGCCGCGUGAGGGAUGACGGCCUUCGGGUUGUAAACCUCUUUUAGCAGGGAAGAAGCGAAAGUGACGGUACCUGCAGAAAAAGCACCGGCUAACUACGUGCCAGCCGCCGCAGUAA